UACGUAGGGUGCGAGCGUUAAUCGGAAUUACUGGGCGUAAAGCGUGCGCAGGCGGUUCGGUAAGACCGAUGUGAAAUCCCCGGGCUUAACCUGGCAACUGCAUUGGUGACAGGCGGGCUAGAGUAUGGCAGAGGGGGGUAGAAUUCCACGUGUAGCAGUGAAAUGCGUAGAGAUGUGGAGGAAUACCGAUGGCGAAGGCAGCCCCCUGGGCCAAUACUGACGCUCAUGCACGAAAGCGUGGGGAGCAAACAGG
rnacentral:rRNA from 1 species